GCAACCUACCUAUAACUGGGGAAUAGCCUUCUGAAAGGAAGAUUAACACCGCAUAACAUCACGAGACGGCAUCGCCUUGUGAUCAAAUCUCCGGAGGUUAUAGAUGGGCAUGCGUGACAUUAGCUAGUUGGUGAGGUAACGGCUCACCAAGGCGACGAUGUCUAGGGGGUCUGAGAGGAUGAUCC
rnacentral:rRNA from 1 species